UGACGCUAAAAACUAAACUGACGAGAAUAAGCAGAAAAUUUAAAACUUUACGUUUCAUUUGCGAGCUUUUAAAAACGACACAAAAUAGACUCAACAAAAAGUGAAAUCCCUAAAACUAUAAAACGCAAAAUACUCACGUAAGCCCUCUCUCUCUCGUUCGAUUCUCUUAAGAUGCUUCAGACGACAGUGAGAACUCACCCUAAAAUCCCAAAAUCUGUGCCGUUCUAAGCCGCAUUCGCCGUCGUUGUGGAAAAUCGUCUGUUGGCCGUGUGAUUUUCUUCCCCGAGGAUCAAAUUUGGGGUUGGUCUGCACUUCACUGGAAGAAAUUGGAGGCCAUUGUUCUUUUCUUCCUGGUUUGAAUUUGAGCUCAUUUGGUAUUUAUUUCUGUUUGCCUUUUCAUAAAUGAAUAAAUAAUGUGUUUUGAUUGAAUUUCAAUAUAUUAUCUCGAGUUUGAUUUGUACGGAUUUUUAGCUUCCUCGUUCUUUCUUGUGAUUUCCUUUUUCUUGGGUUCAACUUCGAGACUGUUCGGACCCAAAACCAUUACCAGCAGCUCUGGAAUUGAAGAAUGAUUUUGAAAAGAAGUACAAUCAACUCAAUGAACAGGCUAACACGCAUACUAUCAUUUUGAUGCAAACUUCUUAGAACAGAGCAACAAGGACUUUUAUGGAUUAUGAUUCGAUCAGUCAAGCAAUAGAUGGGCAAGGGUUAAUUGAGACCGCUAUUGUGAGCUAAUCAUGAGUAGUAAAAGCAUAAAAUCCGGGCUAUUAUACUUUCCCAGCUCAAUGUUUAGCUUGUGUACUUCUGAACUUGUGCUGCCAGACAGCGUUGAAACUGCGGGGUUCGAUAGUUCAGCGUUGCAUUUCAGACAUACGAAGACACAUUUACUUCUAUAGAGUUAAGAAGAGCCUGACCAGGCAUUAUAAUGUUAAAGCUGUCUUUUUUUCAUUCCUUCUAUUUUCUCUUUUCUAUUUGAAACUAAUGUAUAAUUGAAAUUCUGACUUUGUUGUGUGGUGGAAUUGGAGUUAAUUACUUACUGUGUUCCAUUGGCCAUUGUUGCUUUGA